rnacentral:rRNA from 1 species
GACGAACGCUGGCGGCGUGCUUAACACAUGCAAGUCGAACGAAGUGGCGAACGGGUGAGUAACGCGUAAUCAACUUGCCCUUCAGAGGGGGACAACAGUUGGAACCGACUGCUACUACCCCAUACUGAAGGAGGGGAUUGCGUCUGAUGAGCUAGUUGGAGGGGGAACGGCCCACCAGGGCGAUGAUCAGUCGCCGGUCUGAGAGGAUGAACGGCCACAUUGGGACUGAGACACGGCCCAGACUCCUACGGGAGGCAGCAGUGGGGAAUCUUCCGCAAUGGACGAAAGUCUGACGGAGCAACGCCGCGUGAGUGAUGACGGCCUUCGGGUUGUAAAGCUCUGUUAAGCGGGACGCGGUACCGGAAUAGAAAGCCACGGCUAACUACGUGCCAGCAGCCGCGGUAAAC